AACAUGACACUAUUCUUAUAAUAUUUCAUGUAUGAAAAGUAAUGUACUUUUUUUGUCAGGUCUGCCCAAUCUGUCUUGCAUCGUACCCAGCUGAUGUUCUCCCAUUUCAUGCAAGCACAUGUGGUGACAGAAUGAACUGUGCUCAACCCAGCGUAGCAGCCAGUCCCCCAAGGGGAGAAGAAUUCCCAGGACCCUCAAGGGGAGAAGAAUUGCCAGGACCCUCAGUUCCACAAUCGUCAGCAGCUUCAACCUGGGCCACUGAAGUCGACCCCCAAAAAGCAUGCCAGUUGUUCAGAGAAGAUUUACUGAACCGUUACUCUGAAAGUCCACGCCUCUCUCUAUCACUCGACAUGUUUGAUGCAGAAGAAGAACAGGACAGUGCAUUCAUUUCAUUCUAUAAGCAGAAUAAUGUGAACUGGGCAGCUCCAUUCAAGUGCAGGCUGAGAGGAGAUGCAGCAGUGGGUGAUGGUGUCAACAGACAUGUUUUGUCAAUGGCCAUGCAGAAAUUGAAAACUGGCUUCAGAAUAAAUUUAGGCUCUGCUGCUCCUACAACCCUUUUUGAGGGGGAAAAAGAACAUCGGGUUCCCUCUGCAGCUGCUGCUCCUACAACCCUUUUUGAGGGGGAAAAAGAACAUCGGGUUCCCUCUGCAGCUGCUGUCCUGCGGGAAAGCAACCUAUUUGAGAUGGCAGGUCGUAUGAUCGGCCAUUCUUUCCUGCAUGGUGGGUCCAGCUUCUCUGGACUCAGUUUGCCUGUGGUGACCCUAUUCCUGCAUGGUGGGUCCAGCUUCUCUGGACUCAGUUUGCCUGUGGUGACCCUAUUGACUGGUGAGAGCAUCGACACUGCAGCAUCAGCUCUGACGCUGAAGGACUGUCCUGAUAUUGACCAUCGUGAAACAAUUGGUUUGCUGAAGAAUGCUGAACUUACUGCAGAAGAACACACCAAAGUGACUGAUCUUUGCCUGUCCUGGGAUCUUCCAUUUCCAAACUCCACCAAUCGUGUCUGGCUGUUCCAGGAAUUGCUUUCACAUGCAGUACUUCACCGUGUUAAACAGCCAAUUAAACAAAUACGGAAAGGCCUUAAACAAAGAGGAAUCUGGCCACUUCUUUCAGAUAGGCCAGAUGUCCACCCCUUAAUUUUCCCAAGGGAGUCAACUGAGGAGCUUAACCCACAGACCGUGAUCCAGAGCAUUACCUGGCCACAACCCAACGUUGACAGCGACGAGGAUGAGGACGACACUGUUCCAUUGGAGAAAAUCAGUCUUGUCACUGGAUUUUUGAGAAAAUUCAUAGAGGAAGCGUCAGCAGAUGUGCUGCGUGACCUGAUGAAGUUUUGGGUGGGGUGGGAACUGCCAACAAGAAAACUCCAUGUUGAGGUUGUGACCUCAACUUAUCCAGUGGCUCACACCUGCUUCUUCAAGUUGAAGCUCCCCAGCCACUACCAGACCUACAAGAUUUUUCACCAGGACUUGAUGAUGGCCCUCAGUUCUGUAAGUUCUGGCCUUGGACUUGUGUAGGUGCAAAUGUCAUCAACUUCUUGCACUCAGUCCCUCUUUUGAAAUGGAAUUGAUUGUCUAUUAAACAAAUUCCAAUAAUCAUUUGUCUGAAAAGGCUUUUCCUAUGGAAUUUUCUGCUGACUGAGCUGAACUGUUAAGUCCUGGAAAUCCUUUGCAAUGUCCUCCAUAGACCGUGUGGACCAAAGUCUUUGUGGACCAUGUUCUUUCCCAGGAUGCAGCACCAAAUGUGACUUAGCUUUCAGUCAAACUAGCUAAGGAUGAGGCUUGCUUUUCCAAAACAUCCAAUGGCCACUGUAGAGAGGAAACUAGGGGUGGAUUUUUUUCCCUUUUCAAAAUAAAAUGCCCAGACACAAACUUAUUUAUAAAAUUCAUACUAACUUACUGUAUUCAUAGUGUCAAUUAGUUUUGAGGAUCAUGGGCUCCUAGCAUAAGGCACAAUCAAAAUAUCAUUUGAAAUGUUCUAAAGUAGUUUCUGUUAAGUUUUUG
rnacentral:lncRNA from 1 species